rnacentral:rRNA from 1 species
UACGUAGGCAGCGAGCGUUGUUCGGAGUUACUGGGCGUAAAGAGUGCGUAGGUGGUCUUCUAAGUUUGGUGUGAAAUCUCCCGGCUCAACUGGGAGGGUGCGCCGAAAACUGGAAGGCUAGAGUGUGGGAGAGGAGAGCGGAAUUCCUGGUGUAGCGGUGAAAUGCGUAGAUAUCAGGAGGAACACCUGCGGUGCAGACGGCUCUCUGGACCACUACUGACACUGAGGCACGAAAGCGUGGGGAGCAAACAGG